rnacentral:rRNA from 1 species
UACGUAUGGGGUAAGCGUUAUCCGGAUUUACUGGGUGUAAAGGGAGCGUAGGCGGCAGGGCAAGCCUGAUGUGAAAGCCCGGGGCUCAACCCCGGGACUGCAUUGGGAACUGCCCUGCUGGAGUGCCGGAGGGGCAGGCGGAAUUCCUAGUGUAGCGGUGAAAUGCGUAGAUAUUAGGAGGAACACCAGUGGCGAAGGCGGCCUGCUGGACGGUGACUGACGCUGAGGCUCGAAAGCGUGGGGAGCAAACAGG